AUUGAACGCUGGCGGAAUGCUUUACACAUGCAAGUCGAACGGUAGAGGGGGCAACCCCCUUGAGAGUGGCGAACGGGUGAGUAAUAUAUCGGAACGUGCCCAGUCGUGGGGAUAACGUAGCGAAAGUUACGCUAAUACCGCAUACGAUCUAAGGAUGAAAGCGGGGGAUCGCAAGACCUCGCGCGAUUGGAGCGGCCGAUAUCAGAUUAGGUAGUUGGUGAGGUAAAGGCUCACCAAGCCAACGAUCUGUAGCUGGUCUGAGAGGACGACCAGCCACACUGGAACUGAGACACGGUCCAGACUCCUACGGGAGGCAGCAGUGGGGAAUUUUGGACAAUGGGCGCAAGCCUGAUCCAGCAAUGCCGCGUGCAGGAUGAAGGCCUU
rnacentral:rRNA from 1 species